AGCAGUCGCCGCGGGAAUACGAAGGGUGCAAGCGUUAAUCGGAAUUACUGGGCGUAAAGCGUGCGUAGGUGGUGGUUUAAGUCCGUUGUGAAAGCCCUGGGCUCAACCUGGGAAUUGCAGUGGAUACUGGGUCACUAGAGUGUGGUGGAGGAUAGUGGAAUUUCCGGUGUAGCAGUGAAAUGCGUAGAGAUCGGAAGGAACAUCUGUGGCGAAGGCGGCCAUCUGGGACAACACUGACGCUGAGGCACGAAAGCGUGGGGAGCAAACAGGAUUAGAGACCCCGGUAGUCCCUGUCUCUUAUAC
rnacentral:rRNA from 1 species